rnacentral:rRNA from 1 species
CUCAGAACGAACGCUGGCGGCGCGUUUUAAGCAUGCAAGUCGAGCGGUAACUACCCUUCGGGGUAGCUAGAGCGGCGAACGGGUGAGUAACACGUAGAUUAUCUGCCUUGAGGUUGGGGAUAGCCUGUGGAAACACAGGGUAAUACCGAAUAAGCCCUACGGGGGAAAGGUGCUAAGGCACCGCCUUAAGAUGAGUCUGCGGCUCAUUAGUUAGUUGGUGGGGUAACGGCCUACCAAGGCGACGAUGAGUAGCCGGCCUGAGAGGGUGGACGGCCACACUGGGACUGAGACACGGCCCAGACUCCUACGGGAGGCAGCAGCUAAGAAUCUUCCGCAAUGGGCGCAAGCCUGACGGAGCGACGCCGCGUGAACGAAGAAGGCCGUGAGGUUGUAAAGUUCUUUUCUUACUGAAGAAUAACCGUUGCAGGGAAUGGCAGCGGGAUGACGUUAGGUAAGGAAUAAGCCCCGGCUAAUUACGUGCCAGCAGCCGCGGUAACACGUAAGGGGCAAGCGUUGUUCGGAAUUAUUGGGCGUAAAGGGCGUGUAGGCGGUUUUACAAGUCUGGUGUGAAAUACCGCAGCUUAACUGCGGGGACGCGCUGGAAACUGUAAGACUAGAGUACAGGAGGGGGACCUGGAAUUCCUGGUGUAGGGGUGAAAUCUGUAGAUAUCAGGAAGAACACCGGUGGCGAAGGCGAGGUCCUGGCCAUGUACUGACGCUGAGGCGCGAAAGCGUGGGGAGCGAACAGGAUUAGAUACCCUGGUAGUCCACGCCGUAAACGAUGUGCAC